GGCCUGGUCCGCAGGGAGGAACUUGGAGCUCUCCAGCAGGCAGGGGCAUUGGGCCUUGUGCACGCAUUCGCCCUUGUGGUCCAGCUGUCCGGUGCUGUGCUGUGCUGUGCAGUGACAGUGGUCUUCAUGGCCAGGACUGCUGAAGCUGACUGUGGUGUUGUGAUGAAUAGAGCUCUUUCUUGCUGCCUGGGACCACCAUGCUCCUGGCAUUGCUGUUCCCCUGCAACUGACCCACAGGCUGAGGAGCCAACCGAUCAACCAACUGUGAACCCCAGGGCCACAGCACCUUCUCCCAACCCUGUCCUGCCGUGAGUGUCUUCCCUGGCCCUGUGUCCCAUAUCAGGAUCCGAGGUGACCUCCUGGAAACUGGCCCCUCUGUAUCCCUUCCCCUCCUGCAGGAUGUCCCACCCUGCAGCCCCUGCGUCCCCUGGUGCCAGAGGUAUAGGUUGGGCCAGGCGGUGGCCUGCCACAAAGGCACAGAAGUGCCAUGUCUUCCUCCAUAGCCUGCAGCCUGUGCCGAGGGUGAGACCUGAGGGUCAGUGUGGACAGCCCCACCCAGGGUGGCCCUCCUGGCUAGCCAGAGGGCUGGGUGGGAGAUGGGAGUGGGCAGGGCUUCCUCCCACAGCCAACAGCUGGAGGAAGUAGCUGCCCAAGGUGACAUCCACUGGGCAGAGGGGUGGCCAGCAGGCGCAGCUGGGCGGGUUUGAGAGGCUGCCUGUCUCCUGCUGGCUGUGGCCUGUGCUGCAAGUGGGCUGAGGGUGGCUGGUCUCCUGGUGACUGCCCAGGCCCCUGCUGAAGGACUGUUCCCAACCCAGUGAGGAGCAUAGGGGUUUCAUCACUGUCCAGGCUUUGCAGGUGGCUGCCCAGGGAUGGCCUAUGGGAGCAGGAAGGGCACCAGGCUGUGCUGCCCAGGGCCGCGAGUGAGCCAGGCUCCUGUGCGGCCCCAGCUCCUGCCUAACCUCCUCUCAGUUUCAUCAAGCCCCAGCCUACAGCCUUAGCCUAACCUUGUCUGAGACCCCAGCACCCCUACAUCUGUCCUUUCAACCCAGCACCCUCCGGGAGACCAUGGAGGCUGGAGGGGGGCCUCCAGCACCGACAGACACACAGUGGUCCUGGGCCCCUCCAGCCACGUCGUCUCUCUGGGCUGGCAGGACUGCAGGCCGCUGGUGCUGGGGGACGGAGGGGGUGCACUCUCCACUACGCCCCUGCCCUGAGUCUGUCCCACAUGGCUCUCCCCUUGGCUCUGGAGUUGAGGAGCCAGCGAUUACUUGGCCAGGUCUUGGGCUCCAGGUCCUGGUUCCUGCUCUCCCCCUGCUUCCUGGAAGAGGCCAGCAGGAGGGUGGUGGUGCUGGCCUUGUGCCCGCAACAGGACCUGGCCAUAAACCUGCAGGGCGAGGCUGUGGGUGCACGCUGACCCCCUGCGGACUUUCCUCCCUCCUGGCCCACAGCUGUCACCAUUCCCAAGAACUGGCACCUUGUUUGUUCCUUGAGGAGCUGCUGGCAUUGUCUCCCUGGCCCGGCACCCACCCACCUUCUCCCACAGCUGCCCAAGCUGGGACAGGACCCGGCCUCGCCCUCCUCAGUGCCGGGUGUGCCUGAGUGGCACUGGGCUGCCCUGGGGUCCCCAGUCCCUCUGGGGGCAGCCGUGAGCUGCACACCUGCACAGACCCCACUGGCCAGCAGGUGGACCCGGUGCCCCCUGCUCGGGAAGAGAAGCGUCAGGCUUUGGGG